UGACUUGGUUCUCUAUAUAUUUGCUAAAUAAGACCUUUAUCAGAGAUAUUUGUUAUAAAACUUUCCCCCAGUUUGUUGUUUCUCUUCUAAUCUUGGUACGUUGGUUUUGUUCAUACAAAAUUUUAAAUUUAACAUAGUCAAAAUUAUUCAUUUUACAUCUUGAAUUGUUCUCUUUCUCUUGUUUUGUCAUAAAUUCUUCCCUUUUCCUCCUUUUAUUUCUUAAAAUUCCUUCAAAAGAUUUUGAAAACAUAUAAUUUAUGAAGGGAUAUUUGUUUCUUCUCCUAUUAUGAUGUUAGCACUUCCUAUUGCUUAAAUAAAUAGACUUUUUUUCUUGAUUCCCUCAUUUGUAUUACAAAGUUUCUACUCAACUCAUCUUUUUAUCAGAAAUGCUUGACCAGUUUUUCUUCUUAACUUCCUUGUGUUCUCUUCUGUGGUUUUAACAAAAUGUUCCAGUGGCAUUAUUCCUCAGUUUUGUAGUAGGAUUCUAUUCAACUUUGCAGAGUAAAUUGUUCUUGUUUCUAAGUCUAUUUCUUUUGCCUUUUGGAAUAUUGUAUUCCAAGUUUUCCUCUGGCUUUGCUUUGAAGGUCGGAUAUGAGCCAAACUAUUGUUCCUUAACGCUUGAACUCCUUCUUGGAUAUUUGCAUUUUGUUUUAAUCUGAGAGCUCUGGAUUUUGACUGACAUUCUUAUGUCUUUCACUUUUGAGGUCCAUUUUAGGAGAUUAUUGGUGGACUCUCCCUAACUUCACUUUGCCCUUGCUUUAAAUAGAUCUAAUGAAUUUUCACUUAUGAUUUCUUGAACUACAAGAUGUCUCAAAAGGCUUUAAUGAAGUUUUAUGUUUUACUAAGACUUUUGUGACAUGCUGUAUAAUGUUCAAGCUUUUUAUAGGUCAUCAUUUUCUGGAAUUCCAAUAAUUCUUAAAUUUUUUUUUCUUGACUUUUUCUGGAUUAACUGGUUUUGAGAGUUGAUAUUUUACAUUUUUCUUCUUUUUUAAAAAAUCAUCUUGAUUUUCUUCUAAUAUUUGUUGCUUUCUAGUGGAGUCAUUGAUUCCUGUCUGGUCUCUUCCAGUUUUCAGAAAGUUCUAUUUCUUGGGUAAGGUUAACUGCUUGCUUGUUAUUCUUCUAAUUCUCUCCCCCAGUGCUUUAGCUUCAUUCAAAACAAAACAAAACAACUCUUGCUUUAUUUCUAGUGAUUUACUCAUCCUUGUGGAAAAUCUAUUUUUUCUUUUGAGAUUCUGCUUAUAGUUAUUAUGAUGCUACAUUUGCAAUAAUUGUUGAUAUUUAUUGAUGUUUGAUUUGACUGACUCAUCUCUCUAGCUUAAGUUCCUAAAUUGAAGCUUUGGGCCAGGGCCAGGUUCCAUUUAUUUGAUGUUUGGGUAUGAGAAGUGGCUCUUUUAGGUCUUUCCCUGGAUCUCUUUGGUUCUAUUCUUUAAAAAAAAAAAAACCCUUUAUUUUCUGUCUUAAAAUUGAAACUGUGAUUUGAUUUCAAAGCAGAAGAGUGGUAAGGACUGGGCAUUGGGGGUUAAGUGACUUUCUAGGUGUCACACAUCUAGGAAUUGUCUCAGACCAUAUUUGAACCAGGACUUAUAUCUAGGUCUUUCUCUCAAUCCACUGAGUCAUUUAGCUGCCCCUGUCCCCUUGGUUCUUGAGAUGAUUUCUACCUCCCAGGGUUUAGGUUCCCCUAGGAAAUUUGAGGUUUAGAUCAUUGCAUCUACACAGUAAUCUCUGGCAUCUCUUAAUAGACCUCAGAGUCCUUGGACCAGGGCUGUCCUGGGCUGAGCAUUGUGGCUCCAGGCUGGUUCCUGUCCACUCUCAUUCCCCAGUGCUUCCAAGGUCCCCAUUCUGGGGCCUUCUGACCACUCUGGGGUUUUCUGAGAGAUUUCUGCUCUUCUUGCCUCUGAAGGAAAUCUUAUAAGAUCUAAAUUUCCUAUCAUUGCUCAGAUGCUUGCUUUGCUUGAGAGUCACUCUUUCUCAUUAUGGCUAAUUUUUCAUGAGGUUCUACGUAAAAAGUAUUGCUUCUUGUAGUUUCUCAUUGGAUGUCUUCAUCAUUAUUGGGUAUAGCUUAUAUUUCUUGAACCCUGAAGCGGUCAUGCAUGUAAUGAACAAAAGACAAAAUGGCCUAAUCCUCUCAAUUCCCUCACAUAUGGAAGUUGGAUUGGUCUACCUCCUAUUUGGGAAAACAUUUUGGCAAGAAAUCUUAUGGUGUGGUUUCAAUCCAGGCUACUAUCCUGGUCCCUUCUCUGGACAUUCUCUAACUUGUCAAAAUCCUUUCAAAAAUACAGUAUCCAGAACUGGAUACACUACUCUGGUUGUGGUCUGUCAAAGGGUUGAUAUAAUACAACCAAUUGUUCCCCUCAUUCUAGUUAUAUUUCUUCUAUUAAGCCCAAAGAUUGCAUUAUAUAUUUUGUCUGCCAUGUCAUACUUUUUUAACUUAUCUUCAAUUUUUCAUCUACUAAAAUUUCUAGGUUUUGUUUCAUUUUACUUUGUUUUGUUUUCUGUGAAAACUUCUGCUGCAUCAGUUCUCUCACCUGUUAUAUUAAUUACUCCUCCCUGCUUCACAUCAUCUGUAAACUUGAUAAACAUGCCAACUAUGUCCUCACCUCAGUUAAUGAUGCAAAUGGAACAGGCUAAGGACAGGACCUUGACACAUUCCAUUAAUAGCAAUGUUCCAGGUUGACGUCCACUUUUUAUUUUUAUUUUUAUUUAAAAAUCACCACUUUUUAGGUUCCAUCAUUCAACCAGUCCCAAAUUCAUGUAACUAUGUCAUCAUCCAGUCUAGAUCUCCUCAUGUUAUACAAAACGAUGUUAUGGGGAAGAUCUCUUCAAGUGCUCAACAGAAAUUCAGUUACAUUGUUCCAGUGGUAUUUCCCUGACAUACCUGUUGGCAAAUCCUGUCAAAAGGGGAAAUGAGCUCUUUAAAAAAUGGGUAUAGAAUCCUCUGAAGGGGAUCUAGAUGCCUUAAGAAGUUUGGACCAUGAACUACUCCUUCCUCUUCUUCUCACUGCUGAGACAAUGCCUCUUACGGAGGCAGAACAUAUGAUUUCAGCAAUGUCUGUGCUGAUAGAACGCCACAAUCUUGGGAGAACAACAAUUAACAGGGGAAUGGACAUGAGGAUGGAUGGAUGAAGAUUGGGAAUGCAGUCCAACAAGCCAUUUCCAUGAACCAGGGGACAGAUCACUGAUCUGGAAAGAACCAGAGGCAGAGAGGUAGCAUCAGAGAAGCAGAAGCAAUGCAAAGACGAGAAAGUCACAAGGUUAAGGGGAAUCAAGUCCCAGGUUUCUGCCUAUAUGAAUUUUAAACUGGAUGGUAGUCAAUGAACUGAGUUAGACAGAUUCAACAGGUCAGAUGGGUUUAGAGAUAUGUAAAUUUAUGCCUAGCUAUCUUGUUUCCUCUCCCUUAACUGAUAAUGAUGAUCUUAGCUAAUUACCUUUUAUUUGUUUUGGAUUUGGAUUUAAGAGAUCAUAGAUUCAGCUGGAAGAUACCUCAGAGGUCAUCUGAUCCAACCUCCUCAUUUUCUAGCUAAGGAAACUGAGGCUCAGGGAGUUUAUGUAACUCACCUAACAUCACACAGGUAGAAAGUAUCAAAGUAGAAUUUGAACUUGAGUCUUCCAACUCUGGAGCCAUUAUCCUUUCAACCGAACAUCUCUCUAGAUAUUUCUCAUGAACAUUCAUAUAUACGUACAUGUUGAUGUCUCGCCUAUAAGUUCCUUGGGAACCAAGACAGUUAUACUUUUUGUUUUUUGGCCUCUAGUGUUUAGCACAACAUCUGGUCCAUAGUAUGCCCUUAAUAAAUGCUUUCUUAUCAACGGAUUGCUAGGGGCAGCUGGGUGGCACAGUGGAUAGAGCACUGGCUGGGAAUCAGGGAGGCUCAUUUUCAGGACUUCAAAUCUGGCUUUAGACAUUUCCUAGCUAUGUGACUUUGGGUAAGUCAUUUAACCCCUUUUGCCUCACCUAAUCUGUAAAAAUGAGUUGAAGAAGGAAAUGGUAAACCACUCCAGUAUCUUUGCUAAGAAAAUCCCAGAAUGGAGUCAUGAAGAGUUGAACACAACCGAAAUAACUUAAGAGUAAUACAUUUAUGAUUGCUGGUUUUCAUGGGAGACAAAGUCCCAAUUAUCACUGCCAGUUAAUGAACAGGUAUUGGGGAUAAUCUGCCUGGAAUAGAUUUUGAUAAAUCUAGAUCUAGUCUCUGUCUUUUAAAAAUUAAAACUCUUAUCUUUAGUCUUAGAAUCAAUAUUGUGUAUUCAUUCCAAGGCAGAAGAGUGGUAAGGGCUAGGCAAUGGGAAGCAAAUUACUGAUCCAGGGUCACACAGCUAUUAAUUAAAUGAGAUUAUGACAGGAAGCUCCCUGCUUCACAAGGAAGCUCUUUGCAUUUUUUUGUGACCCCCCCCCCCAGAUCCCUGCCGGUUUGGGGCCCAGCAGUUUGACAUACAUCAUUUAAUUUCAAUGAAAUUCAGUUUGGUAUCCUCAAGUCUUGCUUGAUCAACUUUAAUUCAUGAUCACUAUCCUCCCUAUUUUGUUAUCAGAAACAUUAGUCUAUAAAUUCAAAUAUGAAAGUGGGUAGAAAUAUUAAUAUCAUUCCAAUUAACAGGCAAAAUGAAAAAUACCCAACUGUGCCACCAUAUAUGGGAUGUUGAGCACCAGAAAAUGGUGACCCAAAGAGGGUACAGAAACUACUUAUUGGGGAAAAUACUAAAUAGACUAGCUUCUACUUAAUUUGGGAGAAUUCAGGUGAUUGGGAUGGGAGGGGAGCACAACUGACUUAUCAACAAGGUAACGGGCAUCUCUUUUCCUCUGUGAUAAACUAAAUUUUCACAUUCUUCAAACUUUUCUGAGUAUGUAAAUUUCCUCACUUUCAGAGAAAGAAACUGAGGAUCUCAGAGUUAAGUGAAUGAAUUGAGAUCACGUGGUGAAUAAGUAACAAAGCCAACAUUUGGACCCAGGACUUCCUGUUCAGAAUCUGCUCCUUUCCCCAUUUCACCACAUUGUCUCUUUUCCUGCCUACAAGUAGCUCUACUAAUUUCCUUUGGCUGUCUGUGUGCUCGGAGUCAGGGGUUUGGUGUGCCUGCCACACAAAUAGCACCUUCCUCACUUUGUCCAGACAGAACAGAUCACCUCCCAAUGGGCAGAUUACUAAAUUGAAGUGUUAAUGUCUGAAACACACUAAGAAAAGGACUUCUGCUAAAGUAAGAGAAACACAUGUCCAAUUUCAGGUGUUUAAGAGCACUUUGGGAUGUGUAAGUUGUAGGAGAUGAACAUGGGGGCACUGCCAGCAGUCGUCUUUUCUCAGAUUAACAGCAAAAGCAGAAGGAUCAUAUCCAGAAAAGGCAGCCUUAGGCACACGGAGGAGGGGAGAUUGGUUGGUGGGAGAAAGUACAAGGAUGGGUGUUGGGCUUAAUUCCUCUCCUUCUCAAGGACCCUCUGACAAUGGAGCAGGCUUUGUGGAAACCUGGUAUGGAGGAGACUAUAAUAUUUCUCAGAGCUGGAGGCAGAGGAUAUUAAAUUUACAUGGAGUGCCUUGAAAGAGACAAUGGUAACAAAUGCAUAUUGGCUUUCGGGAUAUAAUAACAAUAUAUUAUCUUUCUUCCCAAGGGUUCAGUAGCCUGCCACAGCAGCAGCAGCAGGGGACCUAACCCAAAGGAGAGCACUAAUGGCCCCCAGGUCAAGGGUUUCAAUCCCCCAAGGGCUGCUGAGUUUAUUAGGUUUUCCAACUCCAGAGCUCAUACCCUUAUUUUGUGCCCACUGUCUAGCAAAUCCACGUAUUUGGCCACAAGGGGGAUCAGAGGAGCAACUGUACAGAGCUCAGCACAAAUCCAUCUAUCUUCAUGAGCAAAAGCAGCUCAAAGAACAGCCUCUGAUGUGAAUUCCUUGACAGUAGGGAUAGUUUUUCUCCCUGUGUAGCCCUUUCACCUAGAAUGGUGCCUGGGACAUAAUAGGAGCUUCAUAAAUGCUUGCUGACUUGAUAAAUGUUGUUUAGAUAUUAUUGAUUUUCAAUAGAUUUGUAUGAAAUGCUGUCUGAAUUCAAAGGCCUGUUAUAAAUGCUGUGGUUAGACAUAAAGGAGCCCUGAUUCAGUGCUUUUCAUAUUUAUUUCAUUUGAACCCCACAAUAAGCCAUGAUGUAAGUGCUAUGACCAUUUUGCAGUUGAGGAAACUGAGGGUGAUAGAAGUCAAAUGACUUGUCCGGGGUCACACAGCUAAAUGUCACGUGUGAUUUAAACCCAGGUGUUCAUGACUCAGAACUUUAUCUAUCUUCAUUCUUAUCUUCCUCAUGAAAUCUUACUGUAAUAGGGGAAAAAUUGGAAUCUUGCUUGUAGACAGGUGGUACUAGUUCUUCUUUUGCCUGAAUUAAUGUGAUUAGAAAUAAUGUUGUAAUGGAAAAAUCAUUGGACUUGGAGUUUUAGAAGACAAGGGUUAAAAUCCAAGCUUUAUUAUGUGCCCAAAAGUAAAUCAUUAAUUCCACUGUGACUCAGUUUUCGUAUCCAUAAAAUGAGGAGGGGAUUGUACUAGAUGACCUGUAUCAUCCCUUUCAGCUAUAAAUCUUAUGAUCCUAUAGGUCUGAGUUGGUGAACCUAUGGUACACAUGCCACCAUGUGCUAGAGGGAGCUGCUCCCUUCCUCCUCUCCACAGCACCUAAGGAGCACUUCCUCCCUCCCCUGUUUGGAGUAAGGCAUGGGGAGUUGGGGCUCACAUGGGACAUGAGGGUUGCAGUUUGGGCACUUGGUCUCUAAAAGUUUUGCCAUCACUGCUAUAUGGAAUCAGAACCACAGGAAGCAGUUUGCAUCCAGGGCAGUCCAAACUAUACUUGGAGCAGGUGACAUGAAAUACUCCUUAAUCCUAGAUGAUGGCCUCUGAAAACAAAACCUAGAAGACUUUCAGGUUGUUUCUGGGGAGGCCACAGUGAUAGUCAUGGAAGGGGAGAGUAUGAUGGGGCUAGACAAUGACUGAACUCUGCUACAAAGUGGGGAUAAUGAAAGCAGAUGGUCUGGUAGCCUCCUUAAAUACUUCCUCUUGCUAACCUAGUGCUAAGUUCUGUUGUUUCUUUUGAUCAAGCACUUUUGCAAAGAGUUCUCAAUGUCCUCUAAAUUCAGCACCCAGAGACUAAAUCCCAGGUACCUCACUCUACUUACGGCUCUAGCAAUCAUGAGCCUUUUAGUGAUAUUGUUCAUUUAGAUUUACAGUUUUCCAAGCUAGUGCUUCAAAAAGAAGAAAACUCCCAGGACACCUUAUACAGAUCAUCCUCCUCCUAUCUCCAUGUAGGUAACAAAUUUUUUUUAAAAAGCCAUUCUUUCUCCUUUUGAAAUAUGUAGUAAUAAUCCUUUAAGCCUAGAAAACACAGUAUAAAAACUAGUGUUUCAGCAGCAGUGUAGGAGAACAGGGACAUGAAAUAUGGAUUGAAUGCAAACUGGUUUUGAAAAUCCGCACUGUUUAUCCCAGCAACAUGAGCUAUUCACAGCCAUGCACUGUAACUAAAUAAAGUAGCAGCAGCAUGGGGCUGUAUAUAAUUGUUUGCCCAUUUAAAUAAAGCACAGAUUGGAGUGGGUUAGGAGAAAGACAGGAUCUAAUAUUCAUGCUUUGUAGCUGCAUCUGAAUUUUCAUAAUUUCUCACUUCUCAGAGAUUGUGUAAAGAAGAAAACAAUCACUACCACUUCCUAUAUUUUCCUUGUAAUCUGGAGCCCAACAACAACAACCACUACCACCACCACCACCAUUUAUGUAAUUCCAGGGCAGUGAAGUGGCACAGAUACUAGGGGCCAGAGGUCCUGGGUUCAAAUCUGGCCUCAGACACUUCCCAGCUGUGUGACCCUGGGCAAGUCACUUGACCCCCAUUGCCUAGCCCUUACCACUCUUCUGCCUUGGAGCCAAUACACAGUAUUGACUCCAAGACCGAAGGUAAGGGUUUUUAAUUAAAAAAAAAAAAAAGGCCUGGAGUCAGGAGGAUUUGGGUUCAAAUCUAGGAUCAACCAUUUCCUAGCUUUGAGAUUCUGGGCAAGGCAUUUAACCCUGUUUGUAUAGCUCUUACCCUUCUGACUUAGAGUAGCUAAUAAGAUAGAAAGUAAGGGUUUUUAAAAAUCAUAUGUUUUCAGAAGUGUAAAAUGAAGCAAAAACAGAUUUGGAAGGCAGCCCAACAGAAAGCUAUAAGCUAUAAAUAAAACAAUGUCCAUUAACCUAAAGCAGCUAGAGAAAUAUUAACAUUUCCUCCUCCGAAAGGAAGAGGAUUGAUAGACUGUCUCAAAUGAGCUUAAAAUCUUACUGAAAAUACCUUUGAAACAAGUAAACAUCCCUUCAGCAAGGGAUAAGAAAUGUGGAGGAUAAGGGACCUGCCACUGGAUUUGUUCAAUGUAGCAAAAAAUGGUUUUCCUCAGAAUUUAACCUAUGGAAAGUCAAGUUCUCAGGGAUAUUUUAAGAUCUGUAUUUUCAACAUGGAAUAGUGAAAGAAAGCUGAUCUAGAAUCAAGUUCUACUUUUCAUACCUAUUGACUAUAUACAACCUCUGCCCAUAUUGGUUUGCUAAGAUUAUUGUGGGGAAGGCGACAAUUUGCAUUUGUUGAGGGAGUUCCUUUAUGUAGGACUUUAAGACUUCCCUUUACCAUUGAAAGAGAGGGAAAUCCAAGAGAUUGAACCAAGAAGCUCAUGAGUGAAAUCUCUGUGAACUCAAUGAAUAUUAUCUCAACAAAGAAGCAUUGAACUAAUGGUUGAGUUAUGAAGAUUUGUUUAUUGUGAUAGAAAUUGAGGGUGAUAAUUUAGGACCAGUAAUCACCAUUGAAUAUUAUAGGUGGAUUAUUCUAAAGAAAGCUAGAUUUAUUGAUUAAUACACAUUAUGCAAGGAAAUGUAGAGACUGUGGAACAUAUCAUUUCAGGCCAUGAACAUUUAUCAUUUACUGAAUACCUAGGAAAACAUAAAACUGAUGCCUCAACAGCAGAAGCUUGCUAUCUUUUUAUGGAUGCACAAGUGAAAAAAAAUCACAUAAUAUAAAAAGAGAUAGGGAGUGUGAUGUCAUUAGUAAAGGGAAGUCUUAGCUAAGGUAACUCUUUCUAACAAUGCAAUUGUCAUUUUCCCUGCAACAGUCUUAGCAAACUACCUAGAACAGGGAUGGUGAACCUUUUUGAAACCACGUGCCAUGCCCUCCCCCCCAGAGACCUAGUGCCAUGCCCCUCCCAAUUCCCCUUUCCCUACACAGGGGAGGAAAGAAUUGCUUCCAUUGGGCUGUUGGGCAGAGGGGUAGGUGAAGUGAGGAAUGUCCUCAGAAAGUGUAGAGAUGGGGAGGGGAGUGGCCCAAGUACUCCAUUCCCCUCUAGCUCUGCUGACUAUGAGCUGCCCACCUUACUCUAGACAGGGGAGGGAGGCAGCAUUCCCACUGGACUACUGGGCAGAGAAGCAGGUGAUGUGAAAAAAUGUCAGGCAUGGUGGAAAGGGGGAAGGGAACAGCUCUAACUGAGUCCCUCAACCUUUCUAGUAAUCAAUGCUGGGGGUGGAAGUGGGGUUCACAUGCCCACAAAUAGCACUCUGUGUGCCAUCUUAGGCACACAUGCCGUAGGUUUGCUUUCACUGACCUAGAACAUGGAGUAAGAUUGUUUACAGCCUGUAUAUAUGAAAAGUAGAACUUGAGCCCAGUUCUUGAUUCCAGGCCAGCCUGGAAUUCAUUAUUCUAUGUUGAAAAUACAGACCUCAAAAUAUCCUUGAGAAUUUAACCAAUAAAAUGUACAGGAAAUAAGAUACCACCACAAACUAAACUGUUGUCUCAAUCUCCUGGAUAUAACUUUGAUUCAUAAAAACUUAAGAACAAAGCUUUUAAUAGUGUUGUCAUACCAAAGAGUCUCAUGUCCACACUGUUUGAAACAAAUAGUUUUCAAAAUAUAAUAAAGACCUACUAAAAUAUUAAAAUAUUGUGGAAAUUGGAUAUUUCCAUCAACGUCUCUGCUCCUAUAGCUAUACCAAGGAUGAGUGACCCUCCAGAAAAUGAACUUAUAUACCAAUAUUUUAUUCAGUUACAAAAAGCAGCUAUUUUAUCAGCCUAUAAAAUAGUCCACAGAAAAUUAAAUGUUUAAAAAAGUAGUAAGAUAAUGUCUUGUCCUUGGACUGGUUCUAACUGAACUCCAUUGAAAAGAUGAGAAUGAUAUUAUUAUUAUUGUUAUUCAUAACAGUAGCAACAACAGUUUUUUCAUAGACACCAUCUCAUUUGGUCCUUAAUAACAACCAGGAGAGAUAAAUAUUUUUCCUGUCUGAUCUCAUUUAGGAAAGGGAAUUUGGUGACACCAUUUUCAAAUCAAUAAUGGGAACAACAGAAACUUUCUAAUAUGCCCCAUCCCAUCGUAUACAAAUCUUGGUGAUGGUGUUUCUGAUAAUAUGACUCUGCUAGGAAAACGUGGCUGUCUGGUCUCUUAUUGGGUUUUACCUGGGUGCUGUGAUGAGUUAGACUCUUCAGCUUCCACUGGGAAACAAUGUAUAUAAAAGACCCAGACAUAAUUUUCAAGGGUAUAUUUCUGUUUA